rnacentral:rRNA from 1 species
CGCGUAGGCGGUUUUGUUAGUCGGAUGUGAAAUCCCCGGGCUUAACCUGGGAACUGCAUUCGAUACUGCAUAACUAGAGUAUGGUAGAGGGAAGUGGAAUUCCGGGUGUAGCGGUGAAAUGCGUAGAUAUCCGGAGGAACACCAGUGGCGAAGGCGACUUCCUGGGCCAAUACUGACGCUGAGGUGCGAAAGCGUGGGGAGCAAACA